rnacentral:rRNA from 1 species
UGACGGUACCUGCAGAAGAAGCGCCGGCUAACUACGUGCCAGCCGCCGCGUUAAUACGUACGGCGCCAGCGUUGUCCGGAAUUAUUGGGCGUAAAUAGCUCAUAAGCGGCUUGUCACGUCGGAUGUGAAAACCCGGGGCUUAACCCCGGGUUUGCUUUCGAUACGGGCAGACUAGAGUGAAGUAGGGGAGAACGGAAUUCCUGGUGUAGCGGUGAAAUGCUCAGAUAUCAGGAGGAACACCGGUGGCGAAGGCGGAUCUCUGGGCCUUAACUGACGCUGAGGAGCGAAAGUGUGGGGAGCGAACAGGAUUAGAUACCCUGGUAGUCCACACCGUACACGUUGGGAACUAGGUGUGGGAAACAUUCCACGUCUUCCGUGCCGCAGCUAACGCAUUAAGUGCCCCGCCUGGGGAGUACGGCCGCAAGGCUAAAACUCAAAGGAAUUGACGG